rnacentral:rRNA from 1 species
GAUGAACGCUGGCGGCGUGCCUAAUACAUGCCAGUCGAGCGAACAGAUGAGGAGCUUGCUCCUCUGACGUUAGCGGCGGACGGGUGAGUAACACGUGGAUAACCUACCUAUAAGACUGGGAUAACUUCGGGAAACCGGAGCUAAUACCGGAUAAUAUAUUGAACCGCAUGGUUCAAUAGUGAAAGACGGUUUUGCUGUCACUUAUAGAUGGAUCCGCGCCGCAUUAGCUAGUUGGUAAGGUAACGGCUUACCAAGGCAACGAUGCGUAGCCGACCUGAGAGGGUGAUCGGCCACACUGGAACUGAGACACGGUCCAGACUCCUACGGGAGGCAGCAGUAGGGAAUCUUCCGCAAUGGGCGAAAGCUUGACGGAGCAACGCCGCGUGAGUGAUGAAGGUCUUCGGAUCGUAAAACUCUGUUAUUAGGGAAGAACAAAUGUGUAAGUAACUAUGCACGUCUUGACGGUACCUAAUCAGAAAGCCACGGCUAACUACGU